UCAGAUUGCUUGAUAUCUGGUUAGCCCACUCUUGUAAGGUCUUGGGAGAAAUAGUCUAGAGGGCAUGGGAGAAUCCAAAGGGUCAGGUUAGAAUCAUUAGCAAUAAAUAAUAUGUUUGAAGCUGAAUGGUUUAAAUUACAUAAUUGUUGGCCAAGUUUCAGGUGAUUUACUGCUAGUUGGAAUCUCAUUUUCUCUACAUGCCUUCAUUUGAGUCAUCUAGCUUUUUCCAUUAGUU
rnacentral:lncRNA from 1 species